UACAGAGGGUGCAAGCAUUGUUCGGAAUUACUGGGCGUAAAGGGCGCGUAGGCGGCCUUCUAAGUCGAACGUGAAAUCCCUGGGCUCAACCCAGGAACUGCGUCCGAUACUGGAAGGCUUGAAUCCGGGAGAGGGAUGCGGAAUUCCAGGUGUAGCGGUGAAAUGCGUAGAUAUCUGGAGGAACACCCGUGGCGAAGGCGGCUCUCUGGGACGGUACUGACGCUGAGACGCGAAAGCGUGGGGAGCGAACAGG
rnacentral:rRNA from 1 species